rnacentral:ncRNA from 1 species
UAUCUGGUUGAUCCUGCCAGUAGUCAUAUGCUUGUCUCAAAGAUUAAGCCAUGCAUGUCUAAGUAUAAGCAAUUUAUACAGUGAAACUGCGAAUGGCUCAUUAAAUCAGUUAUCGUUUAUUUGAUAGUUUCUUUACUACAUGGAAUACCUGUGGUAAUUCUAGAGCUAAUACAUGCUUAAAAUCCCAACUUACGAAGGGAUGUAUUUAUUAGAUAAAAAAUCAAUGUCUUCGGACUUCUGAUGAUUCAUAAUAACUUUUCGAAUCGCAUGGCUUUAUGCUGGCGAUGGUUCAUUCAAAUUUCUGCCCUAUCAACUUUUGAUGGUAGGAUAGUGGCCUACCAUGGUUUCAACGGGUAACGGGGAAUAAGGGUUCGAUUCCGGAGAGGGAGCCUGAGAAACGGCUACCACAUCCAAGGAAGGCAGCAGGCGCGCAAAUUACCCAAUCCUAAUUCAGGGAGGUAGUGACAAUAAAUAACGAUACAGGGCUUUAUGUCUUGUAAUUGGAAUGAGUACAAUUUAAAUACCUUAACGAGGAACAAUUGGAGGGCAAGUCUGGUGCCAGCAGCCGCGGUAAUUCCAGCUCCAAUAGCGUAUAUUAAAGUUGUUAGCAGUUAAAAAGCUCGUAGUUGAACUUUGGGCUUGGAGAAUCGGUCCAAACGUUUGUUGUGUACUGUCUUCUCCAGGUCUUUCCUUCUGGUUCUCAUUUGGGGUUUACUCCUAUUUGUUGUAUCCAGGUAUUUUUACUUGAAAAAAUUGUAAGUGUUCAAAGCAGGUCGUUU